GCCUAGGCUGGAGAACUCCGACUCUUGCGAACGCACGAGGUCCAGUAGGGGCGGGGUGGGGGCGGUGGGAGGAAGGGGGUGGGGCGGGGCCGGGGCGGUGAAAGGGUCCGGGGGGCGGGGCGAGGCCGCCGCGGUCCGGGCCCCCGUCGUGUGCUCAGGGCUCCGUAGCCAGCUCCUGCCCGGGCGCGCACACGCGCUUCCUCUCUCGUGCUCCCGGGCGUCCGGAGGCGAAGGUCCCGGAGCGUUCCCGAGAAUCCGGGUCGCAGCGAGUCCAGGGUCCGCUCCACCAGCUGCGCGCGGGGCGCACGAGCCGGCCAGCCUCGGGGAAAGGGUGAGGGGCGCUGGGGGUUCCUGCGGGAAGAUGAGGAAGCCCGAUAGCAAGAUCGUGCUGCUGGGGGACAUGAACGUGGGGAAGACGUCGCUGCUGCAGCGGUAUAUGGAGCGGCGCUUCCCGGACACGGUCAGCACGGUGGGCGGCGCCUUCUACCUGAAGCAGUGGCGCUCCUACAACAUCUCCAUCUGGGACACCGCAGGGCGGGAGCAGUUCCAUGGCCUGGGCUCCAUGUACUGCCGGGGGGCAGCCGCCAUCAUCCUCACCUAUGAUGUGAACCACCCGCAGAGCCUGGUGGAGCUGGAGGACCGGUUCCUGGGCCUGACGGACACGGCCAGCAAAGACUGCCUCUUCGCCAUCGUGGGGAACAAAGUGGACCUCACUGAGGAGGGGGCCUUGGCGGGCCAGGAGAAGGAAGAGCGCAGUCCAGAUAUGGAUGCCGGGGACUGUGGCUCCCCCAGGGUGCCUAAGCAGGUGCAGCUGGAGGACGCGGUGGCCCUUUAUAAAAAGAUCCUCAAGUACAAGAUGCUGGAUGAGCAGGACGUGCCGGCCGCUGAGCAGAUGUGCUUUGAGACCAGUGCCAAGACCGGCUACAAUGUGGACCUCCUGUUUGAGACCCUGUUUGACCUGGUGGUGCCAAUGAUCUUACAGCAGAGAGCUGAGAAGCCGUCACACACAGUGGAUAUAUCCAGUCAUAAGCCACCCAAGAGGACCAGAUCUGGGUGUUGUGCCUGACUUUCGAGGGCCUCCUGGACUCAGACGGUGCAUGUGGGAAGGGGUCUGACCAGGCAAGCUAUGAUCUGAAAGGAGCAAGGAACACCAAGGAAUUAUUUUCCAGAGUGACACACGCAGCAGAAUGUUGGAGUGGAAAUGAUGGCUGGCUAUGAAGAGGAGGUCAAUAGCAGCCACUCCAGGGAGGAGAAGAGCAAGUGACGGUCCGGGGUUAAUGGCAGCAUGUGGUCUCGGAGCUCCCUUCUGCACAUUUGCAGCUGUCUGUGUCCCCAUGCAGAUGAGAACCCUUUCCUCAAUGACACCUCAUAAUCAGGUCCUGGACACGUACGAGUGCGUACAUGCCUGCAGCUUUAGAAACGUCACGUGUAGUGACUGAUCUGAUUCUCCUGACGUCACUCUGAUGCACAGGUCCCACUCAGGCUUCCUGAAAUCACCUUCCCAUGUAGCCCUGCUGUGUAGAGGUCCUGGCCUCAGCCAGCUUCUGGGGGAACACGAGCUAGGGCAGCUGUUUAUCUGUUUCAAAGAACAUUAUAAGCAAACCAUGACCAUCCACCCAUCGGUGUCAAUACGGAUAUGCGGCAUCCUCACAAAUGCACCUUCAGCAAGAGGCGGUUGGUGAAAUACACCCGGGCCCCCUGCAGGAGGCAGCCCCGGGCACUAGGAUGUGCUGCGGAGGCUGGCCGUUCAGUAGGAACUAGAGCACCGACAGCAGGUAUGAGCCACAGAUGCAACUGACAUUUCAGUAACAAAACAAACCAUCUGCCUAAUCAACCAUUCAAAGAAAAAUACCUGGCGGAAGAGAUAACACAAUGUUUACUCUUCUUAAAAGAAAAAAAUAAAAUUAAAACGUAGGCUAGCAUCUGAGGCUAGUAACUUAAAAAUAGUCACCCAACCAGGCCUCCCAGCCCCUUCUCUGAGGAGGAAAGAUAAGUGGUUUUAGUUAUUUUUAAAAAAUCUGUACUUGCUGAUUUUUCACAAUAAAUAUGUAUUACUUGUGUAAUUAAGUAAUUUUUUUUCAAUCAGAGGUUGUUAAAUAAUUAGUGGAUCCUGAGGCUGGCUGGGAGACGGGUGAGGCCUUCAAGGGAGACUUAUGUUUUGUUUUUCAUUUUAAAGGUCUACUUUCUGUUGCGUCAACAUGUUUAGCCUUUAUGGAAGUGCAUGGCAGGCCUCCUGGAUCCCAGAGUUUGUGUAUAAGUGCCCUUUGGCUUGGCUGAGCAGGCUUUGAGUGGUAAGUGGGCUUCGGAAUCUGUUUACUUAGAAGAGAAAUAUCUCAGUUCAGUUUGUGGGAAAAAGGGGCUGUACUGUGAUGUAUUUGGGCAGGGGCCCUAGUUUAAGCUUUCCUUUAAACACA